CAGCCGCCGCGGGAAUACGAAGGGGGCUAGCGUUGCUCGGAAUGACUGGGCGUAAAGGGCGCGUAGGCGGUUUGGACAGUUGGGUGUGAAAUCCCCGGGCUUAACCCUGGGACUGCGCUCGAUACAUCCAGGCUUGAGUGAGGAAGAGGGUCGUGGAAUUCCCAGUGUAGAGGUGAAAUUCAUAGAUAUUGGGAAGAACACCGGUGGCGAAGGCGGCGACCUGGUCCUUUACUGACGCUGAGGCGCGAAAGCGUGGGAAGCAAACAGGAUUAGAUACCCCGGUAGUCCCUGUCUCUUAUAC
rnacentral:rRNA from 1 species